AUCUGCAGAUCAGUGGAUUCACUGAGCUGUUUCUUAAAAGGAUUUUUUUCUGUGCAUUUCAGAUGACCAAGAACAAAAUUAUAACCACCUGAUACUAAACAGUGCAACCCAGACACCUACAAAUGGUCCUUCCAGAACCUCUCCCAUCUCCCGCCAUCCUACGAGGCUGCCAUCAAGACUAACCCAAGUAAAUAUUCUUCUCUGAAGAGAUUAACUGACA
rnacentral:lncRNA from 1 species